rnacentral:rRNA from 1 species
UGGGGAAUAUUGGACAAUGGGCGAAAGCCUGAUCCAGCCAUGCCGCGUGUGUGAAGAAGGUCUUCGGAUUGUAAAGCACUUUAAGUUGGGAGGAAGGGCAUUAACCUAAUACGUUAGUGUUUUGACGUUACCGACAGAAUAAGCACCGGCUAACUCUGUGCCAGCAGCCGCGGUAAUACAGAGGGAGCAAGCGUUAAUCGGAAUUACUGGGCGUAAAGCGCGCGUAGGUGGUUUGUUAAGUUGGAUGUGAAAUCCCCGGGCUCAACCUGGGAACUGCAUUCAAAACUGACUGACUAGAGUAUGGUAGAGGGUGGUGGAAUUUCCUGUGUAGCGGUGAAAUGCGUAGAUAUAGGAAGGAACCCCAGUGGCGAAGGCGACCACCUGGACUAAUACUGACACUGAGGUGCGAAAGCGUGGGGAGCAAACA